rnacentral:tRNA from 1 species
ACCUGUGAAGUAUUAAUAGUUAACGUGCUUGGCUGCUAACCAAAAGGUUGGAGGUUUGAGUCCACCCAGAGGUG